AUUUUUGAUCAUGCGCACUUAAUUAAAACAUAAUAUAUAAUUUAAUUUUCGCGCGGAAUUAUAAUAAAGAACUAGGCAAUUCUAGCCAAUCGGAAAGCCGCUAAUAUUCAGCCCGAUGCUAUAUCCGAGACGCUAUUGCGCAUUAUUGUGCGCAUGACGUGAGUCUACACUUAAAAGUCGUGAUGGCAAGUUGCUUUUUACCGGUUCGUGUAUAAUUACGUUAUAUUAGUGUAUAUUUACAGUUAUUAAGUGAUAAUUAUAUAUUAUCAAGCAUUAUUUAAUUAAUACGUGUUUGUUUAAUCAUUAUUAUAUAAAAAAUUAAACGUAUUUUGAACUUUUGUCGUGUUUGUGUAGAUUAUCAUUUGAUCGAAGCUUCGAUCGAAACAAUAUUGUUUCGAAAGUACAAGAUUCUUCGUUGACUUUUAUGCCGAUGUGAUAAGUAACAUUGCUGAUUGAUACAUUUAUAGGCGGUAAAAAGGAUUUAAUAUAUAUAAACGUCAUGAUGACAGUACAUUUUAUGGAGAAAAAAAAGAUAAAGUUUAAAUUUUUGGAUCCAAGAAAGAUAUAUAUUGUGACUGCGCGCAAUGUGGUCAGUAGAAUCAGUGUUUGUUUCGUAAUAGUAUUUUAAAUGUUUUUUAGAGCAUAAAAUAAAUUUAAUUAUAAUAGUUAUACGCGAAAUUAGAGUCAGUGUUUGUUCGUCGAUUGCACAUUAUAUAAAUAGAUGUGUUAAUAGUUUUUUAUUUUUAUUUUUUUAUUUUAAAUAUUUGUUUUCGGUAUGAUAGAUUCAGUGAUUCUCUCAAGAAAAUAAGGCAUUCAAGGAAAAAAGAUAUUUCCCAGUCUUUACAAUGAUUUUCUAUGGGCCACAACAGUGCUGAUGGUAAUGCAGAUACUUCGCAUCUAUUGGUGAGUCGCAUGUUUUUAUGUUCCUCCGAUCAUUUAAUCAUGUCGUAGGAUGAAAGAUCCGAAUCGACACGAAUGAUUGGUUGUAUACGUAGAAUUUUGCA